rnacentral:rRNA from 1 species
ACAUGUCUUUUUGGAAUAAUAAUUUAAAGUCAAAUCUGCCCACUGAUNAAAUUAUUAAAGGGCUGCAGUAUAUUGACUGUACAAAGGUAGCAUAAUCAUUAGUCUUUUAAUUGAAGACUUGUAUGAAGGAUUUGAUGAAAUAUAAACUGUCUCUUAUAUAUUUAUAGAAUUUAAUUUUUUAGUUAAAAAGCUAAAAUAUAUUUAAAAGACGAGAAGACCCUAUAGAGUUUUAUAAUUAUUUAUUAAUUAUUUAUUUAUAAAUAUAAAAAAUUUUUAAUAGAUAAUUAUUUUAUUGGGGUGAUAGAAAAAUUAAAUAAACUUUUUUUUAUGAAUAAACAAAUAUAAAUGAAUAAUUGAUCCAUUAAUUAUGAUUAAAAGAAAAAAUUACCUUAGGGAUAACAGCGUAAUUUUUUUUUUUAGUACAAAUAAAAAAAAAAGUUUGCGACCUCGAUGUUGGAUUAAGAUAAAAUUUAAAUGCAAAAGUUUAAAGUUUUGAUCUGUUCGAUCAUUAAAAUCUUACAUGAUCUGAGUUCAAACCGGUGUAAGCCAGGUUGGUUUCUAUCUUUAAUAAAUUAAAAUAUUUUA